rnacentral:rRNA from 1 species
AUUAUGACGUACUUGUACUGAUUGAGAUUUUAACACGAAGUGAGUGGCGAACGGGUGAGUAACACGUGGGUAACCUGCCCAGAAGUAGGGGAUAACACCUGGAAACAGAUGCUAAUACCGUAUAACAGAGAAAACCGCAUGGUUUUCUUUUAAAAGAUGGCUCUGCUAUCACUUCUGGAUGGACCCGCGGCGUAUUAGCUAGUUGGUGAGGUAAAGGCUCACCAAGGCAGUGAUACGUAGCCGACCUGAGAGGGUAAUCGGCCACAUUGGGACUGAGACACGGCCCAGACUCCUACGGGAGGCAGCAGUAGGGAAUCUUCCACAAUGGACGCAAGUCUGAUGGAGCAACGCCGCGUGAGUGAAGAAGGGUUUCGGCUCGUAAAGCUCUGUUGUUAAAGAAGAACGUGGGUAAGAGUAACUGUUUACCCAGUGACGGUAUUUAACCAGAAAGCCACGGCUAACUACGUGCCAGCAGCCGCGGUAAUACGUAGGUGGCAAGCGUUAUCCGGAUUUAUUGGGCGUAAAGCGAGCGCAGGCGGUCUUUUAAGUCUAAUGUGAAAGCCUUCGGCUCAACCGAAGAAGUGCAUUGGAAACUGGGAGACUUGAGUGCAGAAGAGGACAGUGGAACUCCUGGGUUAAGGCGGG